rnacentral:tRNA from 1 species
GCAGUGGUGUUUCAGUAGUAGAAUUUUCACCUUACAUGUGGGAGAUCCAAGUUUGAUUCUCAGUCAAUGCA